rnacentral:pre_miRNA from 14 species
ACUGCCACUGCCUACCAAUCUCGACCGGACCUCGACCGGCUCGUCUGUGUUGCCAAUCGACUCGGCGUGGCGUCGGUCGUGGUAGAUAGGUGGUCACACA